UACGGAGGGUGCAAGCGUUGUCCGGAAUCACUGGGCGUAAAGGGCGCGUAGGCGGCUCAUGAAGGCUGUGGUGAAAGUCCGGGGCUCAACCUCGGAUCGGCCGUGGCGACUCGUGGGCUGGAGCACUGUAGAGGCGGGUGGAAUUCCGUGUGUAGCGGUGGAAUGCGUAGAGAUCCGGAAGAACACCAGUGGCGAAGGCGGCCCGCUGGGCAGUGGCUGACGCUGAGGCGCGACAGCGUGGGGAGCAAACAGG
rnacentral:rRNA from 1 species